UUUAUUUGGUCAAUUUCUCUUCUAAUAUGCCCAUAAUUUCGAACUCACUCAUUUAUUUUUAUCUUUCGUACUGUUCACUGUUUGAAAACAUUUCUCUUAAAGCGUUUUAAAGAAUUUACCGAUUCGUAUUCGGAUACGCUUGACUUAACGCCGAGCAAAACAUUCCCACCACUGUUUCGCAUGACGAAACGUAAUAUGUAGAACCAUUCAGUUGUCGAAAGUCGUAGCGGUGAGAUGUAUCAAUUCGCGUCGCGAAACCUAUUAACUGCGUAAUAAUUUGUUCCAUCACUAGUCUGCUGCCUUUAUACACUACUAUUAGAGUCAGUGCUCAACAGGAUACAGCCUCUCCACAACCUUAACAAUGUUUUCCACCACCUCGGCUUCUCGCUGUUCUCUGAAUCUGAUGGUGCUUUAAAAACAAAUAAUGUUUUUUACGGUCUUCAUUUCCACCAUGAAGUCCGAUAAUUCUUCCUCGAUGACCUCUGUUACGACCGUUUCUGGGCUAUUGCAGCAUCGAUGACGAUGACGAAUUUCUCCGCAUUGUGAGUCGCAUAUUUUUUUAUCCCUUCAUUCACUCAAUCAUGUCAUAGGACGAAAGGUCCGAAUCAACAUGGAUAACUGAUUGUGUUACGUAGAACUUUCUGCAAGCAUAAUGAUCUUUUAUAUCUAUGAAUAGUAAUAUUUCCUUACUCUGUGUUUUAUUUAUUGGCUCAAGUAGGAUUUUUGCACAACGAGUUUUUUUUUUAUAUUCGUAACACAAC